rnacentral:rRNA from 1 species
AUGAACACGCUCGAGUACUUCAAGACCCACCUCAAGUACGAGAAGAACCCCAAGAUCAAGGAGGCUACCACCGCCAAGUUAACCGAGUACCUCCGCCGCUCCGAGGAGAUCCGGGCCGUCCUCGAGCAAAACUUAUCUGGAUAUAUCUGA